UGCCAGCCGCCGCGGUAAUACGUACCGGACAAACGUUAUUCGGAAUCACUGGGCUUAAAGAGUACGUAGGCUGCCUUGAAGGUGAGAUGUGAAAUCCCAUGGCCUAACCAUGGAACUGCAUUUCAAACCACAAGGCUUGAGGGAGACAGGGGUAAGCGGAACUCACAGUGGAGCGGUGAAAUGCGUUGAUAUUGUGAGGAACACCGGUGGCGAAGGCGGCUUACUGGGUCUCUUCUGACGCUGAGGUACGAAAGCUAGGGUAGCGAACGGGAUUAGAUA
rnacentral:rRNA from 1 species